rnacentral:rRNA from 1 species
UACGGGGGGGGCAAGCGUUGUUCGGAAUUACUGGGCGUAAAGGGCUCGUAGGCGGCCAACUAAGUCGAACGUGAAAUCCCUGGGCUCAACCCAGGAACUGCGUCCGAUACUGGAAGGCUUGAAUCCGGGAGAGGGAUGCGGAAUUCCAGGUGUAGCGGUGAAAUGCGUAGAUAUCUGGAGGAACACCGGUGGCGAAGGCGGCAUCCUGGACCGGCAUUGACGCUGAGACGCGAAAGCCAGGGGAGCAAACGGG